rnacentral:rRNA from 1 species
UGGGGAAUAUUGCACAAUGGAGGGAACUCUGAUGCAGCGACGCCGCGUGAACGAAGAAGGCUUUCGAGUCGUAAAGUUCUUUUAUAUGGGAAGAUAAUGACGGUACCAUAAGAAAAAGCCCCGGCUAACUACGUGCCAGCAGCCGCGUUAAUACGUAGGGGGCUAGCGUUGUCCGGAUUCACUGGGCGUAAAGGGUUCGCAGGCGGUAAUUCAAGUCAGGUGUAAAAGGCAGUAGCUUAACUACUGUAAGCAUUUGAAACUGCAUAUCUUCAUAAGAGUAGAGGAAAGUGGAAUUUUUAGUGUAGCGGUGAAAUACGUAGAUAUUAAAAAGAAUAACGGUGGUGAAGACGACUUACUGCGCUCAUGCUGACGCUGAGGAACGAAAGAGUGGGUAGUAAACAGG